UUCCGAACGUCCCUUUUUCCAAGCGGUACGCUAAACAACGAUAAUUGACCAAGAUGACGGAAGGUACAGCUACCAUCAGGACGAGAAAGUUUAUGACCAAUCGACUUUUAUGCCGAAAACAAAUGGUCGUAGAUGUUAUUCAUCCUGGCCAACCAUCAGUUCGUAAAACCGAGAUUCGAGAGAAAUUAGCCAAGAUGUAUAAAGUGACUCCAGAUGUUGUCUUUGUGUUUGGCUUUCAAACUAAUUUUGGUGGUGGUAAAUCUACUGGAUUUGCACUUAUCUAUGACACCUUGGAUUUUGCAAAGAAAUUUGAACCUAAAUAUAGGUUAGCAAGGCACGGUCUCUUUGAAAAACAAAAACAAACAAGAAAACAACGUAAAGAACGCAAAAACAGAAUGAAGAAAGUUAGGGGUACUAAAAAGAGUAAAGUUGGAGCAGCGUCUAAAAAGGGAAGGAAAUAGAGAAAUGAUCAUCAUUUGUACUACAGACUUCUGGAGGAGCAAUUUCUUAUUGCUUAAUCAGGUAAAAGAAGCCAUCUUGAAGACCACACAAUCAUCGACGUAAAAGUUAUUAUAUUUUACUAUGGAAUAGCGCCGGAAUUAUAAUAAAUUUUACGGAAUAAACGUGUUCUUCUUGAUGAAAACCUGUUUAUCACAUUUUUCUUGACAUCUUGUAACAAUGCCUUGUUAAAAAAUUUAUUAUAUUGAAUUAAUGCGCUAUUAUUUUUUUUAACUUUUUAAUUUUCAGUAUAUUAAUAUUUUUAUAUCUAAUCAAUAUGUAUUUACAACUUACAUACUUAAAACUUUAUUAAAAACCAUUGAAGAUAUA
rnacentral:misc_RNA from 1 species